UGGGGAAUUUUGGACAAUGGGGGAAACCCUGAUCCAGCCAUCCCGCGUGUGCGAUGAAGGCCUUCGGGUUGUAAAGCACUUUUGGCAGGAAAGAAACGUCCCGGGAUAAUACCCCGGGAAACUGACGGUACCUGCAGAAUAAGCACCGGCUAACUACGUGCCAGCAGCCGCGGUAAUACGUAGGGUGCAAGCGUUAAUCGGAAUUACUGGGCGUAAAGCGUGCGCAGGCGGUUCGGAAAGAAAGAUGUGAAAUCCCAGAGCUUAACUUUGGAACUGCAUUUUUAACUACCGAGCUAGAGUGUGUCAGAGGGAGGUGGAAUUCCGCGUGUAGCAGUGAAAUGCGUAGAUAUGCGGAGGAACACCGAUGGCGAAGGCAGCCUCCUGGGAUAACACUGACGCUCAUGCACGAAAGCGUGGGGAGCAAAACAGGAUUAGAUACCCUGGUAGUCCACGCCCUAAACGAUGUCAACUAGCUGUUGGGGCCUUCGGGCCUUGGUAGCGCAGCUAACGCG
rnacentral:rRNA from 1 species